GGGGAAUAUUGGACAAUGGGGGGAACCCUGAUCCAGCAAUGCCGCGUGUGUGAAGAAGGCCUGAGGGUUGUAAAGCACUUUCAGUGGGGAGGAGGAUUGUUUGGUUAAGAGCUGAAUGAUUGGACGUUACCCACAGAAGAAGCACCGGCUAACUCCGUGCCAGCAGCCGCGGUAAUACGGAGGGUGCAAGCGUUAAUCGGAAUUACUGGGCGUAAAGGGUGCGUAGGUUGUUUGAUAAGUUAUCUGUAAAAUCCCCGGGCUUAACCUGGGCAGGUCAGAUAAGACUGUUGAACUCGAGUAUGGGAGAGGGUAGUGGAAUUUCCGGUGUAGCGGUGAAAUGCGUAGAGAUCGGAAGGAACACCAGUGGCGAAGGCGGCUACCUGGCCUAAUACUGACACUGAGGCACGAAAGCGUGGGGAGCAAAC
rnacentral:rRNA from 1 species